GACGAACGCUGGCGGCGUGUCUAAUACAUGCAAGUUGAGCGAUGAAGAUUGGUGCUUGCACCAAUUUGAAGAGCAGCGAACGGGUGGGUAACGCGUGGGGAAUCUGCCUUUGAGCGGGGGACAACAUUUGGAAACGAAUGCUAAUACCGCAUAAUAACUUUAAACAUAAGUUUUAAGUUUGAAAGAUGCAAUUGCAUCACUCAAAGAUGAUCCCGCGUUGUAUUAGCUAGUUGGUGAGGUAAAGGCUCACCAAGGCGAUGAUACAUAGCCGACCUGAGAGGGUGAUCGGCCAAAAUGGGAAUGAGACACGGCCCAAACUCCUACGGGAGGCAGCAGUAGGGAAUCUUCGGCAAUGGACGAAAGUCUGGCCGAGCAACGCCGCGGGAGUGAAGAAGGUUUUCGGAUCGUAAAACUCUGUUGGUAGGGAAGAACGUUGGUGGGAGUGGAAAGCUCAUCAAGUGACGGUAACUACCCAGAAAGGGACGGCUAACUACGUG
rnacentral:rRNA from 1 species